GGCGAGAUGGCUCAGUGGUUAAGAGCACCCGACUGCUCUUCUGAAGGUCCGGAGUUCAAAUCCCAGCAACCACA
rnacentral:tRNA from 1 species